rnacentral:rRNA from 1 species
UACGGAGGGAGCUAGCGUUGUUCGGAAUUACUGGGCGUAAAGCGCGUGUAGGCGGCUCGAUAAGUCUGCUGUGAAAGUUCAGGGCUCAACCCUGAAAUGCCGGUGGAAACUGUCGGGCUAGAGUCCGGAAGAGGCGAGUGGAAUUCCUGGUGUAGCGGUGAAAUGCGCAGAUAUCAGGAGGAACACCAAUGGCGAAGGCAGCUCGCUGGGACGGUACUGACGCUGAGACGCGAAAGCGUGGGGAGCAAACAGG